GACGAACGCUGGCGACGUGCUUAACACAUGCAAGUCGAACGAUGAAGCCUAGCUUGCUAGGUGGAUUAGUGGCGAACGGGUGAGUAAUACGUGAGUAACCUACCUUUAACUCUGGGAUAAGCCCGGGAAACUGGGUCUAAUACCGGAUACGACCAAUCUCCGCAUGGGGUGUUGGUGGAAAGCGUUAUGUAGUGGUUAUAGAUGGGCUCACGGCCUAUCAGCUUGUUGGUGAGGUAACGGCUCACCAAGGCGACGACGGGUAGCCGGCCUGAGAGGGUGACCGGCCACACUGGGACUGAGACACGGCCCAGACUCCUACGGGAGGCAGCAGUGGGGAAUAUUGCACAAUGGGCGCAAGCCUGAUGCAGCGACGCCGCGUGAGGGAUGACGGCCUUCGGGUUGUAAACCUCUGUUAGCAGGGAAGAAGAGAGAUUGACGGUACCUGCAGAGAAAGCGCCGGCUAACUACGUG
rnacentral:rRNA from 1 species